GACGAACGCUGGCGGCGUGCUUAACACAUGCAAGUCGAACGGAAAGGCCUGCUUUCCCUUGUGGAUUGCGGGUACUCGAGUGGCGAACGGGUGAGUAACACGUGAGUGAUCUGCCCCCAACUUGGGUAUAAGCCUGGGAAACUGGGUCUAAUUCCCGAUAGGACUGCAGGGUGGUGCCUGUGGUGGAAAACGAUUUUCUAGUGGUUGGGGAUGAGCUCGCGGCCUAUCAGCUUGUUGGUGGGGUAAUGGCCUACCAAGGCGGCGACGGGUAGCCGGCCUAAGAGGGUGGACGGCCACAUUGGGACUGAGAUACGGCCCAGACUCCUACGGGAGGCAGCAGUGGGGAAUAUUGCACAAUGGGCGGAAGCCUGAUGCAGCGACGCCGCGUGGGGGAUGACGGCCUUCGGGUUGUAAACUCCUUUCGACCGCGAGGAAGCCACCUGGUUGGAAGGGUGGUGACGGUAGUGGUAGAAGAAGCACCGGCUAACUACGUG
rnacentral:rRNA from 1 species